GCGGGUGUAGUUUAGUGGUAAAACUCCAGCCUUCCAAGCUGAUCAUGCGGGUUCGAUUCCCGCCACCCGCU
rfam:Aphanizomenon flos-aquae MDT13 193, whole genome shotgun sequence.